GACGAACGCUGGCGGCGUGCCUAAUACAUGCAAGUAGAACGCUGAAGGAGGAGCUUGCUCUUCUGGAUGAGUUGCGAACGGGUGAGUAACGCGUAGGUAACCUGCCUUGUAGCGGGGGAUAACUUUUGGAAACGAUAGCUAAUACCGCAUAAGAGUAGAUGUUGCAUGACAUUUGCUUAAAAGGUUCAAUUGCAUCACUACCAGAUGGACCUGCGUUGUAUUAGCUAGUUGGUGGGGUAACGGCUCACCAAGGCGACGAUACAUAGCAGACCUGAGAGGGGGAGCGGCCAGACUGAGAGUGAGACACGGCCCAGAGUCCUACGGGAGGCAGCCGUAGGGAUUCUGCGGGAAUGGACGGAAGUCUGACCAAGAAGCGCGGAGUGAGGAAGGAAGGUUGUCGGAUCGUAAAGCUCUGUUGUAAGGGAGGAAAGAGUGUGAGAGUGGAAAGUUCACUCUGUGACGGUAACUGACCAGAAAGGGACGGCUAACUACGUG
rnacentral:rRNA from 1 species